AGUGAACGCUGGCGGUAGGCCUAACACAUGCAAGUCGAACGGCAGCACAGUAAGAGCUUGCUCUUACGGGUGGCGAGUGGCGGACGGGUGAGGAAUACAUCGGAAUCUACUUUUUCGUGGGGGAUAACGUAGGGAAACUUACGCUAAUGCCGCAUACGACCUACGGGUGAAAGCAGGGGAUCUUCGGACCUUGCGCGAUUGAAUGAGCCGAUGUCGGAUUAGCUAGUUGGCGGGGUAAAGGCCCACCAAGGCGACGAUCCGUAGCUGGUCUGAGAGGAUGAUCAGCCACACUGGAACUGAGACACGGUCCAAACUCCUACGGGAGGCAGCAGUGGGGAAUAUUGGACAAUGGGCGCAAGCCUGAUCCAGCCAUACCGCGUGGGUGAAGAAGGCCUUCGGGUUGUAAAGCCCUUUUGUUGGGAAAGAAAAGCAGCAGGUUAAUACCCCGCUGUUCUGACGGUACCCAAAGAAUAAGCACCGGCUAACUUCGUG
rnacentral:rRNA from 1 species